CUGCGACUAAAGUAUUUGGCUGCACAUAAAAGUGUUCCAGAACGCUAUAAAGGCCGACCCACACCUCUAAUUUUCCCCCCGCUCGUUCUUUAGAAGUGACAUUCCUCUCUACCUGUCCACAGGUUGACGUGACAGGGAUGACUGUAAUCAUUGUGUGCUCUGAAUCCUGAUAUAUCAGAGGGUACUAGCUGACAGCACAGGAAAACCCCAAAUACCAACAACAGAAAAAAUGGAUUCCUGACCCUUCGAUUGGGGUCAAGAAGCUUCCAUCUUCCUGACAGUGUUUUACUGUUUGACAUGCGGCAGGAAGUACGCUCCUUACGUACGUUAGGAAAGGAAAGGAGAGGAAAGAAAGCCGUCGGCGUGUGGAAAUGACUUAGCUGGACAAAACUCCACCCACUUCCAGAUGACUUUUUUCCCCAUUUGGAGAACUCACCUUUGAAGGAGAGAUGGACCCGCGGAGGAGACUGCAGGCCCCAGCCUCUGUAAACACACAGGGCCAACAGGAGGAGCUGGGCUCCAGAUGCUGUCAUGGUAACAGUCAUGCAGAAAACCUGGAUGGAAAGAAGAAGCAGAUGCCAAUCAAUGAUUCCCCCCUGGCUCUACCUUCACUCUUUCAGCAAAGCACGUCUGUAGACUCUGAGGAGCUGAUGAGUGAAAAACAUGACAGUUCAAAGGAGCGGGGAGCACGCGCUCAAACAAUCCCUGACAGUUUAGGGGUGUUGAAAUGUAGCCGAACUGUUAGACCUUAACUCAAGCAUUCAUUAUGCAUUUGCACUUUGCUGGAGAGGAUCCCAUAUAAAUUAUGAAUACUAAAAGCUGAGUCCAUAACAUCCAUUAAAUUGUCUUUCUCAAGGUG